rnacentral:lncRNA from 1 species
CUUCUGCGUACCAGACACUAUCCGGGGAAAACAGGUUCCGAGAUGCUCGGUAAUUUGCAGCGGGCUCACAGGUAGGAGGAGCCCACCUGCAGGCUCCUGCUUGAAUGCCAGGCAAAGGGAGAGAAGGAAGCAAGCUCCAGGGCUGGAAACCGCUGGCUGUGGUGUGCAGAGGAGAGGCAGGCAAAGAGGCCCAAAAGGAGCACCCAAGGAGGCGGGCUCCUGAGGUCUGGACCAGCGAUGCUGGAGAUGCAAGGUGCCCCGGAGACAUCUGGCUCAAGCAACCACCUGCAGCAGUAGCCUGAGGCAACUUGUACUCGCUGACAGGCAACAGGCCACUUGCUGUGCACACUGAACUCGGCCGUGGUGGGAGUUUACACCAAGAGAACUGGCAGCUGUCACAAACCAG